UACGUAGGGUGCAAGCGUUAAUCGGAAUUACUGGGCGUAAAGCGUGCGCAGGCGGUUUUGUAAGUCUGUCGUGAAAUCCCCCGGGCUCAACCUGGGAAUUGCGAUGGAGACUGCAAGGCUAGAAUCUGGCAGAGGGGGGUAGAAUUCCACGUGUAGCAGUGAAAUGCGUAGAGAUGUGGAGGAACACCGAUGGGCGAAGGCAGCCCCCCUGGGCCGGCCCUGACACUGGAGACGCGAAGGCGUGGGGAGCGAACGGG
rnacentral:rRNA from 1 species